GGGGGAAAACAGAGAACACAUGGGAUUGCGGCAUAGAGAUGGCCCUGUUGAGCUGGAAGGUGGAGGAGCGUUCACGGCUCCGCAUGAUUGAGGCGGAGGUUCGACACGAGUGUAACAGAGAGAGACAGCAGAGAGAGGCCCGGGAGCUGAGGAACAGGAAGAUGGAGUCAUUGAUGCUGCGGAAACAGGCAGUGCAGCAGCUGCAGAUGAUUGAACAGGUCCAGCGCUCUGAG